GUAAUUAAACUUCUUAUCUAAAUUUUGGUGUUCUUAUCUAGGAAUUAUCAAUUUUGUUAUCGACCUGACUCGUUCUCCGAACCCUAUUCAAUCAAACAAAGAUGGAGAUUAGGUUUUCUGAUGUGAUGCACAAGGAUUUGUAGAUCUUUUCAAGUGUAGUGCAAUGAAAACUAUUAUUUCAUCGAAAUGGAACAUCAGUUUUCGAGAAAAGGAUUUGAUGCACAA
rnacentral:sRNA from 1 species